GAGAGGAGAGGAGAGGAGAGGAGAGGAGAGGAGAGGAGAGGAGAGGAGAGGAGAGGAGAGGAGAGGAGAGGAGAAAUACAGGGGCAGGGGGUGUGUGCCAAACUCCUUCUUUGCUGAGUAGAAAGCUUCUGAAUUUCAAGCAGAAAGUGGAAGGAGCUCCACAGAGCAAUAUCUUGGGCUGCGUGUGCAGAGCGUAGACAAUGAAAAUCUCCGCCCCCUCCCCCAUGCUCUCAAGUCUUCAAGAUUUUUUUCUUUCCUUCACAACGAUGGAAGCUAUGUAAAAAUCAAAUACACAGAGAUGUAUAUACUUUUUUUUUUUUAAAGCACAGACUAACAAACCGAAGGACCUGACCAUGGAUUAUUCAAGGACUCACCUGCUGGGGAGCGCUCUGGGGUCUCCGCACAAAACCUGCUUUUGAGCCCUUUGGCUUUCUUCAGGCGAGCGCAGUCCGUCCAUCCCCCUGGCCCACCCAGCCGCAAGGGAUGCUGUGAAAAGAGCCGCUGCUUGCCGCCUCCGGCCUGCCGUCCAGAGGGCUCCGCCCGUAGAGGCUUAUAUGGAGUAAAAUAAUGUAGAAUGCUGCAUCACCUCAGCGCCGUGAAUUUAGAAGUUCCAGCAUGUUGUGAAGCAGACACAUCUUUGCUAUGAACACUGUGACUCACUACAUCAGUGCUGGUAUAAUAAAAUGCUUCUAAUGAUGUAGCUGUUAAAUUUUCUAAAAUAAAGAUCAGUUUAUUUUGUGAUGGCACAAUGAAAGAGGUGUUUAAUUUUUUACUAGAUUUUAAAAUAAAGCUUAUAAAAAUAUUAAGUUAAAAUUAAAAAAUAUGAUUUUAUAAUUUGUUUUGUGUGUGUGAGGGGGGGCUAACUCUUGAUUACAUGUUAAAUCAACUUAAAUAUUUAACCAAGCUUGUCAAGUUCCAUAUAAGAUCAGUAUGUUUGUCUUCUGAACCCUGGUUUUGCACAGCAAGCAUUAGCAAUUCUUAAGAAAUUAAAUGAAGAAAAGAAUACUGUUAUGAUUCCUAAUAAUAACUGUUAUGUUAUGUUAUGUUAUGUUAUGUUAUGUUAUGUUAUUUUUAUAAACAUUCCUUUGGAAAUGUGAAAUAUUUAUCUUACAUAAUUUAAAUUUCUUCUUAAAUAAAUUCAUAUCUAUCUCAGGAAAUUAAAAACAGUAGCAUAAUUUUUAAUAGUCAUUACAAAUAUGAAGACAGGUUCUAAUAAAUAAAAUGUGUAAUACAAAUAAAAA
rnacentral:lncRNA from 1 species